GUUUAUGACUUCACAGCCUGAUCCUUUCUAUACAUGCCUCAUUCCAUCUUGGAUUUUGUUCCCCACCUUUUAAGCACUGUUCACAAUAGCAAAGACCUGGAACCAACCCGAAUACCCAUCAAUGAUAGACUGAAUGAAGAAAAUGUGGCACGUAUACACCAUGGACUACUAUGCAGCCAUACAAAAGGUUACUGGGGUGCAGGUGGUGUUUGGUUACAUAAGAGGGGACUUGACAAGAUGAGGGUUCAGCAGACUAAAGUUCACAGGUCAAAGUCAGCCUGGUGCCUGUUUCUGUAUCCCUGCAAGGUGAGUGUAUUCAAUCUUGAACAGUGGAAGAUACCAAGUGAUACAGUUUGAAUGGCUCAGAAAGGCACUCUCCAUUUUGAAUCCCCCCUUAGCCUCAUGAUCAAAAUUCCAUGGUCUUCAAUUCUGAAAAAAACUACUCUCAAGAAGUUGGCAUUUGGAGUUCUGGAAUUGUCUCCAGGAGCCCCGCUCAGAGAGAGAUUCUCUUGCUGGGGAAAGUAAAUACCCUGUCAGUGGUGUUUCUGGAGGCAUUGCUCACUGCAUCUCUGUCUGCUCUUCCACAUCUCAGGCCUGGCCCCUGAGCAGGGCCAUGCGAGCAAUUCUAGCCAAUUAAAAGUCCAAAUGCAAAUCUCCAGUUCUUUCUCCCCUUGCCUUUGCUAGUCUGCAGACACUUGCUGGAGGGAAGUGUCAUAAGAUGAUGGAGCCCCAGGCCAUCUGCAUACUUUGAGUGAUUCCCUGCACCCCUCAUUCAGUACAGAUACAGAAUAUGUGUUGGAAACACAGGUACCACGAGCAAGACAUAAAAACCCAGAUUUGAAGAUUAUUUGCUACAAAUCUCUAGUCAAUCUUGACAAAUAUAAUGUGCAUAAACAUCGCUUACAGAGUUUGUUCAAAUCCAUUUCUCAGUUCCCACAUUAGCUAAAUCAGAAUUUCAUGUGCAAGGGAAAAGACAUCACAUUAAAAAAAAUUCAGUCAGUAAAUUUGAUGCACACCAAUGAUUAAAAACCACUGUGGAUAGCCAUUUGCAUUCCUUGAUCAUAUUGACAGCAAUUCAGGGCCUUCAAAAUCUUUUCACUCACAGCACUCAGAAAAUGAUAUUAGUUCUAUGACUUGCUGGGCCCAAUUGAUGAAGCUGUGUGUGCCUAGAAGCUGGAUGGGAUGGGGAUAUAGGAAGGAAUGACUUUCAUGCCCUGAGCCCUGCCUGUCCCCAAAGGUGAGAGAUGACUAUUUCAGAUCACCCUUCACAUUUGUAAUGCUGUGCAGAGGCAUGUGGGUUGGGACGCUCUGGUGUCAGCCUGGUAGUCUAGCUAGAGCAGGAUGCAGAGGACAUGGG
rnacentral:lncRNA from 13 species